ensembl:rRNA 5S_rRNA 5S ribosomal RNA
GCUUACGGCCAUACCACCCUGAGAACGCCCGAUCUCAUCUGAUCUCGGAAGCUAAGCAGGGUCGGGCCUGGUUAGUACUUGGAUGGGAGACCGCCUGGGAAUACCAGGUGCUGUAAGGU